UUAGGGGACCUGGACCUGGGAGAGUUAGUGCCCAAGAGGUCUUGCUUUCAGGAUGGACCUUAAAUCAAUGUCCUUGAAGGACCGAAAGCAAACUCUCAAGGAUGGCAGCUCACCCAUUGCCUUAGGGUACUGUGGGGGCUGUGAGGGUGCCUGAUCAGGUAUAGAAUCCUGGGUGCCAGCUCUCAGGACUGCGUCUGGAAGGCAGCGGGAGACCAAGGGAUGGAUUCAGCCAGCCCACUUUCACUUACCUGCUGCCCCUGUUCUCUUCCCACCUGCCGUUUCUGCUCUUCAUCAGCCUUAUUUCCUAUUAGGAUCUUCUGGACACCUUCUGGUGCGUACUAGGGACAGGACAAAGAACGGACAGUGAGUGCUAACUUUCCCUCCCACCUCCCCACCAUGCAGUCUCCACUGGCCUCCACCCCAGCACCCAGCUUUAGAGCCUAGAGAUGGAGAAGGUACAGGUGCUCCCAAGCCCACAGCUGACCCCAGGAAUGCCAGAGUGGUGUCACAGGGACAGUUUAGGGUAGAAUACACUGGGUCCUACCAAUGUGUCCUUGGACAAGUGGUAUCUGGGCCAGUGAGGAAGACAUUGGAUUCAAGUCCAAGCCCUCACUCUACAGAUGAGGACUGGGAACCAGAGUUCCUAUGGCUUGCCCAACGCUCCACAACUAUUGUGACAGAACCAGGACUAGAACCCCAGUCUCAAAAUUCCACCAGAUCUUGAGAUUUCAGCAAAGAAAUUAUUCUGACCUAAUCAUCCCUGGGAAAGAAACAGUCAUGUAGGCAAAGCAGCUUCCGCUUCUUCCCCACGUCCUACUUACCCAGAGGUCUCCAUCAGGGCUGUGGAAGGCAAGGUUUCCUGCCAGCAUUUUCUUGCCAACCCUGAGAGCGUCGCCCUCCCCUCUGAAGUGCCCUUCCCCCCCCCCAAAGUGAGGCGGCAUCUCCUACCUCAUCCACAUCACUGACCCACUUCAUGAUGUGCUGGGCAAGGUUAUCAUCACCCUUAUCUAGCAGCAGAGGGGCUGUGAAGUCUGUGGAUAGAAGGAAACAGACCACAUCCAGGGGAAAGGACACCCGACGAAAACCCUGGAAUUCUGGAGGAAGUGCAGCUCGAGGAACAGAGGCAUGGCCAUUAAGAACACAGUGUACGGCCAGAGAGUCAAGUGAGGGGGAGACUAGGAGAAUGAUACAGAGGGAGAACAAGUGACAGAGCUCAAGAGAAGGCUGAAGUCAGAGGCUCCAGGCGCACAAAUGUCCCUCUGCCAAUGAGGUGAGGGGACGGGAGAGAGGCCUUUGCCCUAAGCCUGCCACUUGCUGCAUCCCUCUUCCUUCUUUCCAUCUCGGGACUCUCGGGCCCACUGGCCUUGGACCACAUGCCACCGGCUUCUCUUCUCACCAGCUGCAGGCUGUCCCUCGUGCUGGCCUCACCCAGGGGCAGGGUGCGCCGGGGCUCUCUGAGCUAAUGCACCAGUCCGCAUGCGCACAGCUCACUCUGGAGUGACAGAGCAGGGAUAAAGAGGCAGCCCUGGUGUUGGCAGACAGAAUCCUGACCCUCUAACUCCAAAGCCAUAUUUUAACAUAGAGGGCAGUUAGGUCAAAAACACUGAUUCAGAUGCCCACUCAAAAGAGAGACUGAUGAUUUCAGAAUCAUACUCUAGCCCACCUUUUUUUUAGAUACAGACGCAUGCGCACACACCAUACUAGCACAGAAGGAGAGUAACAUGCAGGGUCCAGGGCAGCUCUGGAGGCUAAGCCUGCCACUUGCUGCAUCCCUCUUCCUUCCUUCAUUCUAGGGACUCUCGGGCCCAUGACCAUGUGAAAUGUUGAAGGGUCAUCUUUGACCCAGGCACACAAGGGCUGUUUGCAUGUAGGUGGGUUUCCCAAUUAAAUAACAACGCCUGUGAGGCUGGGAACCAUAAGGCUGCGAACCCCAGGGUCUGAGCCCUAGGCUCUCCCUACUCAAGAGCAUGAGGUGGUCUCCAGAGGUCACUAAAGCAGCCUGGCUGGCUGAUGAGGGUCAUCUGACACCUGCGGUGACCCUGAGCAAUAGACAAUGCUAACAGGCUAAGACGCUGACCCCUCGUCUCUGCAUUUGCCAAUGAGGACCUUACGCAGGGAUCACACUCCCUUCGACAUCUGGGCUUCUGUCACGUGCAUCUGAGCAGACCCGCAAACUACUGGAAACUGUUCACCCCGGCAGGGCUCUGCUCCCUUUACACAGCCCCAAGCAUGUGUCUACAAGCCUCUUCCCAGUCAAGGCCAUGUUGACAGAUCAGAAGUUUCCAGGAGGAAGAGACUGGGCUGGGAGCCUCAGGAGCAAACAUGUUGGGGAGGUGGGAGAGACCCAGUUUCCAGAUGCAUCUGUCUUUACAUAGCCCACAAAAACAAACUCCUACAAGGAUCGGAUUGACUCAAAUUGGUAAGACCAUAACCAGGCCACUAUCAACUGACCCUGCCAGGGAGAAGAGUGACAGACCCCAAACCUGGAGGUGUUUUCUAUAGCACCUCCUUCCCCAUCUCUCCUCCCCUGGGGGCCCUAUUUAGUCCUCAAGGCCCAGUCAAAUGUAACUUCCUUAGUGAAGCCUUCACCAACCUCCCCAGAGGGAAUGUGUCACUCCUCUGUGAUCCCAAAGUUUUCUGAGAUGGCUUUUGCAUGAUAUUCUGAUGGCCUGUUUGGAUGUCUGCCUCCCCUACUGCCCCCGAGCCUCCCAGAGGGCAAAACACCACCUUAUUCAUUUCAUAGUCUCAUCACCUGGCAAAGGUACUCAUUACAUGUAAUAUCAUUAAACAAAAUUGAAUAAAUGAAUGA